rnacentral:lncRNA from 1 species
GUUUUUAUGAUUGAUGAUCUAUAACUAGUCUAUUGAAUCAUGAAAUUCAUUUUAAAUGCUUACAGUAACUGCAAGUCUAGUCUGUUAAUUAUUUAAUUGGUGCAUAUAUACAGCUGUUCUUGUGGCAUAAUAGGUCUUUUUGUGGUAUAAUAGCCUUUUUAGUGGCUUCAUAGUGAUCUUACUGCAGUGAUGUAUUUAUUUUGUUUACUUUAUUUAGGAUAAGGAUAGGGAGAUGAAGAGGAAAUAUUAAUACUUGGUCUAUUCUCAACACUGGAUAUAAAGCAAACAAAAUUCUAUUCAAUUGAUUUAUAUAUAGCAUUUUUUUUUUGAUUUUCCAAAAAAUUCAUAUCAACAUUUUAACUUUUACAAAUGUUUAAUAUUCAGAUCUUCUUUUGAAGUGAGAUGGACAUACAUGUAGUUGUUUACCUUCUUUUAUUGGAUCUUUAUUGUAAUUUUUUGUCAGUUUUAUUUUUUUUUUAGCCUUAAGUGGUAAGUUCUUAAUUAAAAAGGAGAUAGAUAUUUUGAUAUGUAAGAUUUUUUUUAAAUUUCUGAAUAAAAUAUUUGGAGGUUCCCUCCCACAGCUGGAGGGUUAUACAGGCGGUAUGAAAUAUGACAUUUUUAUUAUUUUAACAAAUGUUCUUGAAUGCUGCUUUAAUAUGUUCGAAAAGUGUGUUCUAUUAUAAGAUUUUGAUUGCUAUAUUAAUAUUUAUGAAACCAUGCUUUAUGCACUGUUUGUUAUGUAAUGAUUAUUUAUUUAAUUAAUUUAUUUAUUAUACACAAUGUACACGAUGUGCAAUAUAAAGGUUUGAAUUGUGCUUUUUAGGUUGUUAUUUUACAUGUGCAAUAUUGUUUUUACUGAGCCAUCUUCACUUUAUAUUUACACCUUAUACAAACUGUUUAUUUAUUUAAUUGUAAUAGCAGGGAGAUAAGUCUAUGUUUUUUUUUCCAUUCUCAAUUUUAUUUGUUAUAGCAGGGAGGCAACUCUGUGUCUUGUUCAAACAGCGAGAUAACUCUAUGUCUUGUUCUUAGAGGGAGAUUACUCUAUAUCUUGUUCUGGAAGUACACCACUAAUUAAUGGCCCCAUUGCUUUCUAUGUUAAAUUCCUCAAUUUCGAGUGGUCACAGCUCUUUUAUCUUAAGUUCAAAUAAAGUGACAAUCAUUGCAUGUCAAAGCAACACCUUCUUGUGUCCUGUACUGAAAAAAUCAACAUACCUUACAUGGCAUAUAAGAAAGAACUGGUUCCCGGAACUUCGGAUGUACCAAAACAGGUACUUCAGAUCUGACAAAAAGACAAAAUGUACCCUCUUUUUAAAAUGUCAUGUUGCAUUUUUUUAUUAUUCAAAUUUAUCAGUCAAAAAUUGUUCUGCAAUGAUCACCAGUCAUGCAGCUUUCAUUUGAUACCAAAAUUAAUAAAAGAUUCUAAAUAUUUUGAAAGUUAUGUCCAUGCGUAGGAACUAUUUUGUGUUAAAUAUGUACUACUUUCUGGUAUGUGCUUUCUGGCCGGCCUGAAUUAGUGGUGUUACACCUUCUAACUAUAUAAAGUAUGCCUUACAUUGAAUCAUUAAAAAUUUUAAAUCAAGAGUUUGAAAAAGUAUCUGAACAUGGAAUAAUGUUUAAUAAGUUAUUAAACUGUAUUAUAAGUAGAUAUAGAAGGCAUAUUUAUCAAUAUUUUCAAUUUUAGAAAGGUUAAAAAAAACCAAGAAGUGGUCUUUUCUGGUUAUAAAUACAAAAUAUGGUAAUUAUGUAAAGUCACCCAUCAAUUUAAAAACUAACAUAAAAUUGCCUAUAGAUUGAUACAUAUGAUUUUUUUAGUCUCUGUAACUGGAGAAUUUAUAGUGAUAAUGAUAUGGCUGCAUAAUAAAUUUUCUGAGUUAUCUUUUCAACCAUAAACAAUAUAUCUAAUCUGUCCUUUUUUAUUUUUAGAAUUUACAAAAUUCUACUGUUGUUAUGUCUGAAUCAAAGUCUAUUUAUAUAUGUUAUAUGUUGAUAUAUUCAUGGUUAUGUAUAUGUUUUGGAGUAACAUCUUGCUCUCUACUUAAUCAAAGCUUCCUAAUGCUUUAGAUGUAUUUACUUUAUCCCACCAUUGUGUCUCAUCAAAGUAUUGUCAUUGCUUUAAGAAGACUGUGAUGUAUGCUACCUGCCUCAGAAUUCUGUCUGUAUCUUGGAAAUUACGAGAGUUUAAGGUAAAAUAAUCUAAAUUAAUUAAAAACUGUAAAAGGGGCACAGGGCAGCACUCGAGAAAGGGUGGGUGCCGCGCCCUCUAAAAACGGCCUAGCUGGAACAAUUUUUUAAAUAAUUAAGGGGGUGUUCCAUAAUUUUGGGAAAUGAUGGAUGGUUGAGGCUAAAGGAACCCUGAUAUUAAAUUAUCAGUAAUUCUUUAAGAUUACUUGGGGAAUACUGAUCAACCUAUCAAUAAGUAUUAUAUUGCAUGGUGCCCCCGGAAGAACAUUUUUAGAGGAAAGUUAAAAACAUGUAUUGAAAUGGUAGGGUCCAAUAAUGUUUCAGUAAUGGUUGAAACUGACCUUAUAUCAUGAUAUUUAACUUGAGUAAAUUCAAUCAAUUAAGUAAAAAAAAAAUAGUUCGUUUAGGAAUGAAACUUGUUCAUUCAUAAUGAAAUAUUGGUACAUUAUAAUAAUAAAAAUGUAGGUGAAAAGUUAAGAAAUGCAAAAUCAGCAAGCUUUCCAAUCUUUUUAAGUUUUAUUUAUUGUCUAUACAUUGCAAACAUUCAUUCAUGUCACUGUGACCUAAUUGUAUUAAUUUAACACCUUACUUUAAUUGCUCAGAAUUUUCAAAGUACAAGACAGAAUGGGAGAAUAAAACAUCAAAACUGUAUUUAUUAUUAUUUGUUAUUUAUUUUUGUGAUCAUCUGUGAUUUUUGUUUUGUUUUCUGUGUGAAAUUUUUCUUUUAGAAAAUAAAAUUAGAUCUG